GUGUCAGCAGCCGCGGUAAUACGUAGGGUGCGAGCGUUAAUCGGAAUUACUGGGCGUAAAGCGUGCGCAGGCGGUGAUGUAAGACAGAUGUGAAAUCCCCGGGCUCAACCUGGGAACUGCGUUUGUGACUGCAUCACUCGAGUACGGCAGAGGGAGGUGGAAUUCCGCGUGUAGCAGUGAAAUGCGUAGAUAUGCGGAGGAACACCGAUGGCGAAGGCAGCCUCCUGGGCCAGUACUGACGCUCAUGCACGAAAGCGUGGGGAGCAAACAGGAUUAGAUACCCUGGUAGUCCACGCCCUAAACGAUGUCAACUAGUUGUUCGGUGAGGAGACUCAUUGAGUAACGCAGCUAACGCGUGAAGUUGACCGCCUGGGGAGUACGGCCGCAAGGUUAAA
rnacentral:rRNA from 1 species